AUCUAGCUGACGAGUCCCAAAUAGGACGAGAGGCGCUUCCUGGAU
rfam:Schistosoma mansoni, WGS project CABG00000000 data, chromosome 2 unplaced supercontig 0120, strain Puerto Rico